rnacentral:rRNA from 1 species
ACGAAGGGGGCUAGCGUUGUUCGGAAUUACUGGGCGUAAAGCGUAUGCAGGCGGACUUUUAAGUCGGGGGUGAAAUCCCGAGGCUCAACCUCGGAACUGCCUUCGAUACUGGAAGUCUUGAGUCCGGGAGAGGUGAGUGGAACUCCGAGUGUAGAGGUGAAAUUCGUAGAUAUUCGGAAGAACACCAGUGGCGAAGGCGGCUCACUGGCCCGGUACUGACGCUGAGAUACGAAAGCGUGGGGAGCAAACAGGA